GCACGAUGUGUUGUUAUGUCAUAUGAACACUUCAUAAGCCCAUGCAUUCAUAAUCUACAUACAUUUAACUAAUAUACAUAGGUUAUGUCAUAUGAACACUUCAUAAGCCCAUACAUUUAACUAAUAUUCAAAAAAGCUAGCAACAAACUUCUCAUGUUUUAAUAUAAUACUAAGGUAUAUUAAGAGGUAAUAUUAGAGUAACAUAAUUUAUGCUUGAGGAUGCUUACACUACUUUUGCACGAUGUAUUGUUAUGUCAUAUGAACACUUCAUAAGCCUAUAUAUUCAUAAUCUACAUAUAUUUAACUGAUAUAUCAUAUUUUAUAGGAAUUCUAUUCUAAAUAAAAAGAACCAAUCCAAACCUUUUCUUUGUGUAUUGUGCUAGGAGUCUUACAUCUUAUAUGUAUAAGAUCAUAGAUGACAAAGGGUUCAUAUAGCACGACGUCUGGAUCGAACGGCUAU
rnacentral:lncRNA from 1 species